AGUGAACGCUGGCGGCAGGCCUAACACAUGCAAGUCGAGCGGCAGCGGGUCGUAGCAAUACGAUGCCGGCGAGCGGCGGACGGGUGAGGAAUACAUCGGAAUCUACCCAGUCGUGGGGGAUAACGUAGGGAAACUUACGCUAAUACCGCAUACGACCUGAGGGUGAAAGCAGGGGACCGCAAGGCCUUGCGCGACUGGAUGAGCCGAUGUCGGAUUAGCUAGUUGGUGAGGUAAAGGCUCACCAAGGCGACGAUCCGUAGCUAGUCUGAGAGGAUGAUCAGUCACACCGGAACUGAGACACGGUCCGGACUCCUACGGGAGGCAGCAGUGGGGAAUAUUGGACAAUGGGCGCAAGCCUGAUCCAGCCAUACCGCGUGGGUGAAGAAGGCCUUCGGGUUGUAAAGCCCUUUUGUUGGGAAAGAAAUCCUGUCGAUUAAUACUCGGUGGGGAUGACGGUACCCAAAGAAUAAGCACCGGCUAACUUCGUGCCAGCCGCCGCGGUAAAAC
rnacentral:rRNA from 1 species